rnacentral:lncRNA from 1 species
CUACCUGUUCGGGGUAUUGCCACCAUUCUGAGACUCAGCAGAUCCUCAUGUGAAAAGCUGAAAUGGGAAACAUGUACCUCAGAACUGAACAGAACUAAAAUUGUGACCUUCAGCUUCUCAGUCAGGUGCUGUGAGCAGUCUGCCUGUGUGUGCACUGGGAGGCAGGAGACAGACACCUCGCUUGCUGACAAGUCUUUGCACAGAUGAUACCUAUGUAGUGACCUCCCCCACCCCACCUUGUGAAUAGCAGUUGCAAAAUACCCAAGGUCUGCUUUAGUAUCUAAAU